UGCUUGUAAACAAACGAAUUUGUUAUUUGUUCAUUUAUAUGUCUUACUUAGUCAGGACUUUAAGCAGUAAAUAUCAUUUUAAAAAUGAAUUGAGUCAGUAAAGUCGGGAUGCUGAUUAUGCUAAGAAACACUGGAUAUUGGUCUAUAAUAGACUAUUGAAUGGGGAAACCAGCAUGUACUAUUUGCACAUGGUCAUGGAUAACUAUUCUUCGUGACGAUAUCCGGGACCGGAGGUCGGUUUUUAAAACGCUUGAAUGAUUCAGAUGAAUGAUGCAAAUUGAAGACGCCGGUAGCCAAUUGCAACUGACAACAACUUGAACAAGUACUUGUUUCUGUUUAUUUAACGAGACAAACACAAUCAAGGAGUUAUGAACGCAUAGAAACUCGAGGAAAUAAAACAGCAAAUGUAUUCCAAGAGUUUAUGGCUGAUUAUGCAACUACAGGAUUUUAUCAUGGAAGCAACAUCUUAGAAGGAUAAGUGCAAAUGUAUGAAGGAAGCCUUGUGUAUAAAUACAUGUAGCAAUUACAUAUGCAGGAGAGAACACUUAAACAUUACUAACAUGUAGUCAUGAUAUGGGCGUGGUGCAUUCUAGAAAUCUAAACACCAGGAAUUAAAUAUUGUAUAUAUUUUUUUUCAACUACAAGUACUUUCAGUAUAUCAUACAAUUCUAAUUCAAAUUAUUGUGUCAACAUGACAGUUACUGUCUAAAAAUGGAAAAUGCUUGUUUUAAAAUGAAUUUUUUAUAAAUAUAUAAAUAACAAGAA